GGAAUCUGCAAACAUUGGCAAACUCAUUUGCUGUGAAGGAUUUUAUAUCAAGACUCCUCCAAGGGCCACGGCAAAAUAGCUCAAUCCCAAAUUGCAGAAGUAGCCAUGGAGACUUGCCACCAGUCUGCCGAAUGGUGGAGAGUGACCCUUUCCAGGUCAGCAUCAUGAAAGACUUUCAACUUCUGAAAUCAGGCCAGCAUCAGACAUGUGACAUGACAAGGGAACAUUUUCCCCAUUCAGAGGAUCGUUAAAGGAUAUGAAAGCCAGCAGAUCAUUGUUAUGCAAGAGAAAACAACAUAAAUGGAAAAAUCUAUGAACAUCAUAUCCAUAAGUCUCUGGGAAAUUUGCAGUGGAAACAAAUGGGCCAGAGUAUGAAUGGGUAAUGCUUCACCAAUGGGAACCUGGGAACCAUGGGGCCAGGCUCAUAGCAGAAUGAUCCAUUCUGUUCAGCAUGAAAUGAUUCUUCUGGUGAAACAGAGGAAAGGCAGUUUAACCACCUGCUCCUCAACUGUAAGAUCUAGGCAUCUGGGCUUUGACUUCUGGAAGAUGAAAGAAUGCUUAAGCAUAUUCCUCUGGGAAUAGGGCAGGUGCAUGGUGGAUUCUUCUGCAGAACUCAACACAUUAGAGCCUGUGGAGGCUCUGCUGUCAGCAAGAGAGCAAUUCUGCAGGAGCCUGUGAGGGGAAGGGAGUCCCACAAGCCCCAUUGCAGCAGCGUGGACAUUGCUCUAUGUGGAGCCUUAUAGACUGGGAGUAGAUUAAAGCUCCAAGAUACACGAAUUUCAAAAUUGAAGCAAUAAAGCACAUUUUUUUCUUGGCUUGCAAUUGCCCCUUAAUUGGACCAUGAAUAGCAAUUACACUAUAAAGCCUAACAGGAAUGUGUGGGUAAUUAGAGUAUGUCUUGGGCGGUGGGUUUUAAUGGAGGAACCCGGGUAAUCAUUGAGUGACUUUCACCCUCUACCAAGUGA